rnacentral:rRNA from 1 species
UACAGAGGGGGCUAGCGUUAUUCGGAAUUAUUGGGCGUAAAGGGCGCGUAGGCGGCCACGCGUGUCUUUCGUGAAAUCCCUCGGCUUAACUGAGGACGUGCGGAAGAAACUGCGAGGCUCGAGUCCGGGAGAGGGGGGUGGAAUUCCCAGUGUAGCGGUGAAAUGCGUAGAUAUUGGGAGGAACACCGGUGGCGAAGGCGGCCCCCUGGACCGGUACUGACGCUGAGGCGCGAAAGCGUGGGGAGCAAACGGG